UUGGUUCUGGCAUCGAUGAAGAACGCAGCGAAAUGCGAUAAGUAAUGUGAAUUGCAGAAUUCAGUGAAUCAUCGAAUCUUUGAACGCACAUUGCGCCCGCCAGUACUCUGGCGGGCAUGCCUGUCCGAGCGUCAUUUCAACCCUCAGCACCCCCGUUCGCGGCGGGAGCU
rnacentral:rRNA from 1 species